AGCCGAAACCGAGCCGCAACAGGCGGUUCGGUCUGCCGGGGACGGUCUCCCGGUACUGAUGAUGGCAGACCAAG
rnacentral:hammerhead_ribozyme from 1 species